rnacentral:rRNA from 1 species
UACAGAGGGUGCAAGCGUUAAUCGGAAUUACUGGGCGUAAAGCGUGCGUAGUCGGCUUUUCAAGUCGGGUGUGAAAGCCCCGGGCUCAACCUGGGAAUUGCAUUCGAUACUGGAUCGCUAGAGUUCGGCAGAGGGAAGUGGAAUUUCUGGUGUAGCGGUGAAAUGCGUAGAUAUCAGAAGGAACAUCAGUGGCGAAAGCGACUUCCUGGACCAAUACUGACGCUCAGGUGCGAAAGCGUGGGGAGCAAACAGG